AUUGAACGCUGGCGGCAGGCUUAACACAUGCAAGUCGAGCGGGGUGAUGGUGCUUGCACUAUCACUUAGCGGCGGACGGGUGAGUAAUGCUUAGGAAUCUGCCUAUUAGUGGGGGACAACAUCUCGAAAGGGAUGCUAAUACCGCAUACGUCCUACGGGAGAAAGCAGGGGAUCACUUGUGACCUUGCGCUAAUAGAUGAGCUUAAGUCGGAUUAGCUAGUUGGUGGGGUAAAGGCCUACCAAGGCGACGAUCUGUAGCGGGUCUGAGAGGAUGAUCCGCCACACUGGGACUGAGACACGGCCCAGACUCCUACGGGAGGCAGCAGUGGGGAAUAUUGGACAAUGGGGGGAACCCUGAUCCAGCCAUGCCGCGAGUGUGAAGAAGGCCUUAUGGUUGUAAAGCACUUUAAGCGAGGAGGAGGCUCUUUUGGUUAAUACCCAAGAUGAGUGGACGUUACUCGCAGAAUAAGCACCGGCUAACUCUGUGCCAGCAGCCGCCGUAA
rnacentral:rRNA from 1 species